rnacentral:rRNA from 1 species
UUCCCCUAGUAGCGGCGAGCGAAGCGGGAAGAGCUCAAAUUUAUAAUCUGGCACCUUCGGUGUCCGAGUUGUAAUCUCUAGAAGUGUUUUCCGCGUUGGACCGCACACAAGUCUGUUGGAAUACAGCGGCAUAGUGGUGAAACCCCCGUAUAUGGUGCGGACGCCCAGCGCUUUGUGAUACACUUUCAAUGAGUCGAGUUGUUUGGGAAUGCAGCUCAAAUUGGGUGGUAAAUUCCAUCUAAAGCUAAAUAUUGGCGAGAGACCGAUAGCGAACAAGUACCGUGAGGGAAAGAUGAAAAGCACUUUGGAAAGAGAGUUAACAGUACGUGAAAUUGUUGGAAGGGAAACGCUUGAAGUCAGACUUGCUUGCCGGAGCUUGCUUCGGUUUGCAGGCCAGCAUCAGUUUUCCGGGGUGGAUAAUGACGGUUUGAAGGUAGCAGUCUCGGCUGUGUUAUAGCUUUCCGUUGGAUACAUCCUGGGGGACUGAGGAACGCAGCGUGCUUUUUGCGAAAGACUCGUCUUUUUCACGCUUAGGAUGCUGGUGGAAUGGCUUUAAACGACCCGUCUUGAAACACGGACCAAGGAGUCUAACAUGCUCGCGAGUAUUUGGGUGUCAAACCCGGAUGCGCAA